rnacentral:rRNA from 1 species
CGCAUCUGUGCAUGCAGCAUAUCAAUAAGCGGAGGAAAAGAAACUAACAAGGAUUCCCCUAGUAACGGCGAGUGAAGCGGGAAGAGCUCAAAUUUGAAAUCUUCAAGGUUCUACCUUGACGAAUUGUAGUUUAAAGAAGUGUUUUCUGUUGAGGUUUUGGUAAAAGUUCUUUGGAAUAGGACAUCAUAGAGGGUGAGAAUCCCGUAUUUGACCUUUACUUUCAACUUUGUGAUACACUUUCAAAGAGUCGGAUUGUUUGGGAAUGCAGUCCAAAAUGGGUGGUAAAUUUCAUCUAAAGCUAAAUAUUGGCGAGAGACCGAUAGCGAACAAGUACCGUGAGGGAAAGAUGAAAAGAACUUUGAAAAGAGAGUUAAACAGUACGUGAAAUUGUCAAAAGGGAAGCGUUUGACACCAGUGUUGUUUUUCUGAAAAUCAAUUAAAGAACUGUUUAUGCUAAGCUGUUUAGACUUUAUCAGCUAACUGUUUAGUUUUGAGCUUUUCUUUAAUGCACUUUUCAGUUAACAAGUCAACAUCAAUGUCUUUUGCUGUAAAAAAGCUUGAGGAAGGUGGCUUGAGAUUCGUCUUAAGUGUUUAUAGCCUCUUGCCUAUGCAGUCGGAGAGAUUGAGGUCUGCAGCGUAGAUCCUUCGGGGCUAAAUGCAUUUGUGCUAAGUUAUAGCAUUUUAUAGACAACUUGUUGACUAUGAUUUGUCUUGUAGCUUACUCGCUUAUGUUAUUUUACCUACGCUUAGGAUGUUGAGCGCAUGUCUCUCUCU